rnacentral:lncRNA from 1 species
AGACGUUACAGAGAACCCCGAACAUCCCAAACUGUUAAUCUUCAAUACCCCUUUGUACUUACGAUCUUGUAUCCACUGACUGUCCUGUUAGAUUAACCUAAUAAAUUUCAUUCACUCCGCAUACUCAAUCCUAUAGACACCCCUUUAAUCCUUCAAUCACAGACGUAACUCGAUUUUAUAAAACAGUCAAGAGUAUUCAAACCCACUUCAUUUAAAAAUCCCGAUUCACCAUUACAACACUGACUUCAGCAGCGAUUGCCUCAGUCUUCCCAAAACUCUAUGAAGAAGAAAAAUCCAAAUUCUCUAUCUAAUUCCCUUGAUCUUCAAAAACCUCCAAUGAAAACCGAACUGGUAACUUUGCAAAAGCUUGAAAAACUCGCUCCCUGAUUCCCCCUCAAAACUAUAUCCCCACUAACCUUAUCCUCUGAAUUUCUUCAAUCUUCCGUCUUAGAUCCGGAAUUGGCUCCCACCUCAAGCUUGGAUCCAAAAUUGGCUCUCGCCGUCAAGCUUUCUCCUCCGUUUUUACCUUUAAGAAUCCAUUUACCGAAAACAACGUUCCCUGAAACGGCACAGAGAACAGGACAGCCUGAAACAGAAUCGAACCCCGUAAUCAGGACCACAUUGAGUCGCUCGACCAAUUCAGGUCCUAUAUUGGGAAAGAUGCCCGUAGUAACCAGGAUGUUCCCGUAAUUGUGUCAAAUUGGUCCUCGCGUCAGAUUGGCUAAGACCCGUAAUAAGACCUGGAUUUCUCGUAAUUGGGUCAAAUUGGUCCUCGCUUCAGAUUGGCUAAGACUCGUAGUAAGACCUGGAUUUCCCGUAAUUAGACUACAUUGAGUCGCCCGACCAAUUCAGGUCUCAUAUUGGAUAAGAGGAUCCGGAUUGGAUUAUCGAAAUUGGAUCCAAUUGGCUCCUCGAACCCGUCGUGUGAAUUCGUCCUUCUGUUCAUGCUCACUCUCGUUAUUGGAAUCGAACGGAGCAUUUCAGUAUGCCUCGGCUGACUGUAACGGAGUGACUGAACCUGACCACUCAGUAUUUGUACUGGAGUUGGUCGAUGCUCCCAAUAUUCGAGGUAACUGAAUAUUAAUAAAUUUCCCUUUUCUUUUUAUUUUCACUGUGUACUUGUGUUACAACACGACAUCCACCCCCUCUGAACCUAUGCAUCCUCCGGUAUGCACCAAUUUACCCAAUUGCUGUUUGAUUCAGAAUAUAUCCCCUACGUCUUUGUCCAGUUCGUCUUCGUCACCGUCAUUAUCCAUAUCACUUUCAUCUUCUUGCUGCGGAAUCUCUGUACCUUCAUUAAGGUCUUCCAUAUUCAUCUCUGCGUAUCUUCGUUUAAAUAUUUUUACUCGCUUUCCUGUAAUUGAUAUUUUCAAUUUUGUACCAUCUAACUCCAGUAAUGAGUAAGUCGCAUUAUCAUGAAAAGUUGUUACAACAUAUGGUCCAAACCAACGUUUUGAAAAUUUCCGCAAAGUAUUAUGUUGAUUAUCCAGACUAUUGUCAUAAACAAGUACCCAGUCACCUUCCUCGAUUGCUUUUGGUCUCAAUCGAUGUUGCUUAUCAAAUCGCGCCUUGUUUUGUAACCUUGCUCUUUUUAACCUUCCCAAUGCUAUCUGAACAUCUUCCGUUCUUUGCUCCAAUUGUCGAAUCCUAAUAGCCAGAAGUUCUUCUCUUAUCAAUCCAUCUUCCUAUGGUAGCAUACUCCAAGUAAGUACCUUUUCUUCAAUCGACAUAAUUGGUUUUUGACCUGUCAUAAGUUCUACUAGCAUAUAUCUUGUCACCGAACUAUGUAUUGUUCGAUCAGCCCAUAAUGUAAAUGACAAAAGCCGUGGCCACUCUUUAACUUUCUCAUUACAAGCUUUAACUAAGGCUUUCACAAUCGGUGGGUGACCGCGUUCGCUUUUUGCAUUCCCUUCUGGAUUAUAAGCAGUAGUCAGUGAUAGUUUAACUCCACAUCUUUCAAAGAACUUACGAGCUUCUUGUGCAUUUAAUUCUCCACGAUCUGCAGUGAUUUUUCCUACACACCCGUAACGGCAAAUGACAUCUUCGAGCAAAAACCUACAAAUCUCCUCUGUAGAUUUUGUCCUCAAUGCUCUUCCUUCUACUUGAUUCGAUAAAUCUUCAUGAGCUAAAACCAAAUAUCUCAUCUGCCAUAACCCAACCGGCAUAAUAACCAAAUCAACAACCCAUUUAAAAUGAAUAGCCAGAGGGUACGUAGGAUGAAGACCAUCUCGAUGUUGGAUAUUAGAAUACGAUUGACAGAUUUCACAUGACUCUAUAAAUGAGAGCACAUCUUGAUACAUAUUUUUCCACCAAUAUCGUUCCUUGAGUUUAGCAAAAGUAGCCCAGAUUCCUCUAUGCCUUGCCCAUAAACUAUCAUGAAACUCCUUUAAUAAUUUUAGUUUUUCUUCCCUUUUGCCUAUCACUCGUUGUGGCAUCCCAAUUCCUUUCUUCGGUCUCUUCCAUAAGAAUCCAUCUCGAAGUAAAAAUCCAUAUGCUUUUUUUCUUAUUUGUUUGAAUUUUUCUGUAGACCAAUUCCCCUGCUUAGAGAAGGUAUUCAAAUAAUGACCAAUAUCCAAUAAUUCUCCUUCAUAAGAUUCUUCAAGAAAUAGCUUGUCUUCUCAAUUGAGAUUUGAUAUUGAAUAGAAUUUCAAUCCGACGUCAUCAAUGUCUUCAACCAUUUCGUCCUCCCUCUCGUAUCUUGCUCGAGAUAGCAUGUCUGCUACUAAAUUGUCCUUCCCAGUAAUAUGCUUAAAUUCUGGAUUUAGUGACUUAAUAUAAGCAAUCCAUCUCAACAUUGCAAUAUCUGGCGUUGAACAGUUAAUAAUCAUUUCAAGCAAUGGCAAGCAACUUGUUUCAAUUACUACUACUGUCCCAAUCAAAUAGUCCUUUUCAGCUUUCAUAGCCGAAACAACUCCCCAAAGUUCUCUUUUGACUUACAAAUAUGCACGCUGACGAAUACUUAAAACUUUAGCCCCAAACCGAACUGCAAAUCUACUCCCAUUUGAAUCAUCUUGACCCACAGCCCAUCCAAUGGCAAUUGGACUAGCGUCCACAGUAAGAAUCACUGGUCUAUUGCACUUAUAAUCAACCUUCCUCAAUAUUGGAGGUGACAUCAAUAAAUUCUUCAAUCUUUGCAUUGCCUGAAUAUGCCUUUCUUCCCAUUUAAAUUGGUAGCCCUUGCGUAACAGUUCAUAUAAUGGAUCCACUAUGUGAGCAAAAUGAGGGAUCCAGAUUCGAUAAAAUACACAUGCACCUAAAAACCUACGAACCUCUAUUAAAGAAUCACAAUCCUCUUUCAUCCUUCCAAUUGCAUCAACUUUAGUCGGAUCUGGUUUUCUUCCGUAAGAUCCGCAUAAAUGUCCAACAAUUACAACCUCUCGCACUCCAAAUACGGACUUCAUACCCGAUAAUGUAAGAUGACUUCUCCAAGCCGAGUUAAAUCUUUUCACAAUCUGUAUAUGAUAACAACAUGACCACUCGGCUCAACGGCGUUGGUGCAAAUGCUGNNNNNNNNNNNNNNNNNNNNNNNNNNNNNNNNNNNNNNNNNNNNNNNNNNNNNNNNNNNNNNNNNNNNNNNNNNNNNNNNNNNNNNNNNNNNNNNNNNNNCAUUCACCGGUUGCAUAUCUUGAAUAAACCGUAGUGACCCAUUCUUCUUAGGUACCGUAAACCAUCGACUAGAAUACGGCGCAAAUGAAGGUUCUAAUAUUUUCAUCUUUAUCUUUUCUUUCAAUAGUUCUACCAAUUUAGGUAAAUGUGCCCUCGGUACUGGAAUCGGUCUUAGAUUCCAAGGUACAUGCGAUACAGUGAAGAUAACCAUAGGUGUUAUAAUAUUUGGAUCCACACAUCCAAUUUCAUGAGAUUCGAAGGCAAAUGAUCUACCUUGUUUAGCCAACAUCUUUUUGAAGCAAGUAAUUUUCUCCGUUAGUAAAGAACCAUCAGAACCAAUCUUCAAUUCUUCAAAAGUCUCUUUAGUAAACUGAUGUCCAAUACUCAUUGGAUCUCUUAAACUUGCUUCUUUUGAUGCUUCUCCCAUUUGUUCUUUAGAAUCUUCUAGUAAUGGUCCGGCAACAGGCUUUACCUUCUUAUCUACCGUUUUAUAUCUCGUCUCUACUGUGACUUCUAGUGCUUGAAAAGAUUCAAGCAUGGUAUAAACCUCUCUCGAAUGAAUCUCAACAAUCUUAUCAUUAUCCCCUAACCCAAUAGAUGUAAUCAAUUCCAAUGAAUCUUCUAGUCCAUUUUCUUCAUAAACACCCAAAAUCCUCUCAUCAUCUUGCAAUGUACCUAUCUUGCGUAAUUGUCCUUCAAUAUCAUAUAAUCUUUUUCUUUCUUUUCUUUUAAAAUCAUCAACUUUCUUAUACAUAAUAUUUCCAUUCUCCAAUAUACCAAUAAAACUCGCAUCAAAGACACCUGCAUCUCGCGAGAGUACCUCCUCUUUUGUACCUCCAUAAUCUCGCUUUACAGUGGUACCUCCCCAAAAUCCUUAAAUCCUUCAACAAUCUUUGGCAAUGGUUUCUCCCUCAACCUAUCUCGAUUCCGUUCAUGGUUAGGAGGUACUGUUAGAAAUUGUACAGCUUUCCUCCCAUCUUCGCUCCGUACCCUUGCAUAAGCAUAACCAUCGUUAAGUACCUUUCUUUCCAUCCGUGUUGCCGUGAUAUAAGGUUGUCCUAAAAUCAACGGAUAAGACGUUGUAUCUUGAACGAAGAAAUGUUGCUUCGUCGCAACAUCCCUGAUCCGAAUUUUGACAUCUGGACAAGCUCCAUAUAAUUCGCCUCGUGUGUUAUUAGCUGCUCGUAUUGCCCAUCCAUGUUCCAUAUCAAUUGGCCAUUUUUGCUUCUUAUAAAGAUCUUUAGACAUGAGAUUUAUUUCAAAACCAUGGUCCAGCAAGGCAACUAUUGGUUCUUCUAUAUCUCCUACCUUCACCAAUACCUCAGUAGUUGCCCUUGCCCAAUGCUUUCGAGUAUAAUGGCUCAAAGUUUCCAUUUCCUUGUUACUAGAAUCUUCGAAACGUACUUGUUGAUUAUAUCCAUUCUUUUCAUUUGUUGGUUGCUUGUAACCAAUAUCAACCUCUUCUUCAUCUCUACAUAUUUUUGCAUCAAUAGCAUGACUCAUUACAGUUUCGCUCAUUAAUUGCCUCUUUCGCUUAAUGCUGUCAAUGAUAACAUCAUGAAACUCCUUCUUUGCAAUUCCCAAGACUUCUUUCAAUGUGAAUUCCACCUUAGCGUUUAAUAUACGUUCUUCCAACAUCCCUUUCAAAUUUGUUGCCGCUUCAAUGUCAGAAAGUAGCUUAUAAGCAAUUGAUUUGCCCUUAUCUUUUGUCUCCGUUGUUUUUUCUCCCAAUGAUGCUGAGGUAUCCUUUACAGGCAAUUCUUGUGAAGCUGCCUCCCGAGCCUUGUCUCCUCGAGUUUGCCUCUUAGAAGAAUUUCCUUCUCUAGUAUCAUCAAAAUUUCCUCGUCUCUUUUCUUCCAUCAAAGCUUCAUGUUGGCUCUUAGCAAUAUAUGCAUGAACUGAAAGAGACUCAACAGGAUCCUCUCAACGUGUUCUACCUCGUAUUGUAGCUGCAGUUCUCAAUAACGCUUCUCGAGGUAAUUUCCCUUCUUGCAUUGUAGAAACGGUAGAAGUCCAAAACUCACUAGUUUCCAUACUUCCACCAAUUUCAUCAUCUACUCUAGCACCAUAACUUGCACUUUCUCGUGCUACUGUUUCAUGCCCUUUUAAGUAAUCUUGAACCAAUGUUCUCAUUCCUCUCUUGCCAAAAUUGGUUUGAAGAAGAUCCUCCCUAUCUUUCAAUGCUAUCUUCCCAUCUUUUCAGCAAAUAACUCCCUACCAUAUCAUAUUAUUAAAUUCAUUGCAAUCUUUUCUAGUGUGUGAAGCAUCAUCACACUAAUGCAUCUUUGUACAUAUCCUUGUUUUGAAACAUUCUUCGAAUUGUUUAUAGAAGUAUUCUCUUCAAGUCUUGCCAAUUUGAUUUGAAGAUCUCGCAUUCCUCGUAUAAUUUCUUCCAUACCCAUAUCUGCUUUCUUUGACAAGGAUGUCAAAGGUUGAACUGUAGGCAUUGUCGGUGGUGUUGUACGUACUGGAGCUUUGGGUGCUUGUACUAUUUUCGGAAUAUUGCUCCUAUCCUUCCUCCUUUCUUUUUUUGUAAGCAACCCCACCGCAUCUUCAACGUUCUUCCACUUCGUUGUCAAUCCUUCAUCUUCUUCUUUGUCUUCAAGAAGGGGUUCUAAUUUCUCUUGCAAUUCUCCAUCAGCAGCUUGAAGAAAUAGAUCAACUUUGUUCGGCUCCAAUGUCAAUUUUUUACCUUCGAUAAUUGAGAGUACUGCCUCUCAAAUUCCCUUAGUAGCUCUGUUGCUUGUAAAUUCUUAUUGGGCCGUUCAAUCCAUCCCAGAAACAGCUUCUUAGUAACGCGAUCAGCAUCUUCCAAGAAAUAUUCGUCUUUCAAUGCAUGUGAAAAAUCCUCCCAUGAAUUCCCACAAUGAUCCGUAAUCGAUGUAAUGUAGUCCCUUAUCUCCGGUAUCGUGGCAAGUCCAAAUAAUACAACCAUUUUCUUCUCAGAAACCCGAUUUAAUUCCAUUUCACGAACAUAACAUCUUAAAUACCUUAAAAUAUUCCUCCCAUCAAAUUGAUCAAUUUUAUUGACCACUGCUUGUAUUGCUUUGGUUGCCAAAGCUUCCUUUCGAUCAUUGCUUUGCUGUUGCUGCAUUGACAAUGAGAAGGCUUGAAACAAACUAGCAAUAGACGGAUCCAUGUGCAUAAAUUUGUCCUUUAGAAGACUCUCCACCAGAAACUCCUCCCAAAAAUCCUUCAAAAUUUUUAUUUUCGUUUUCCAUAAAAAUAAAGAUAAAAUCAACCAAAAUCCAGUACCUUCUACCUCAAGCUUUCACGUCGGGUUCACCACUUAUGUCGUAUUACGUGCUUUCCUGCUCGAGAACGCGCCGGGCGUCUGACUGUAGAAGGUAGUAUAGAGAUUUGCUGAUAAUCAAGCAGUCUAUCAGUUUUUGACUGCUGGAAUAUAAACGACUGCAACAAUGUAUCGUAAAUCUAUACGGAUGCUCUUUGACUGCUUGUCGAAGUCUUUUUUUUUUUUUUUUUUUUUUUUUUUUUUUUUUUUUUCUAGCCGAUAGGUCUCUAGACGUUACAGAGAACCCCGAACAUCCCAAACUGUUAAUCUUCAAUACCCCUUUGUACUUACGAUCUUGUAUCCACUGACUGUCCUGUUAGAUUAACCUAAUAAAUUUCAUUCACUCCGCAUACUCAAUCCUAUAGACACCCCUUUAAUCCUUCAAUCACAGACGUAACUCGAUUUUACAAAACAGUCAAGAGUAUUCAAACCCACUUCAUUUAAAAAUCCCGAUUCACCAUUACAACACUGACUUCAGCAGCGAUUGCCUCAGUCUUCCCAAAACUCUACGAAGAAGAAAAAUCCAAAUUCUAUGUCUUUUCUUCCCCGACCCGAAGCAUGAAGCUCCUCUCUCUAAUUCCCUUGAUCUUCAAAAACCUCCA